rnacentral:rRNA from 1 species
UACGUAGGGUGCAAGCGUUAAUCGGAAUUACUGGGCGUAAAGCGUGCGCAGGCGGUUUUGUAAGACUGUCGUGAAAUCCCCGGGCUCAACCUGGGAAUGGCGAUGGUGACUGCAAGGCUAGAGUUUGGCAGAGGGGGGUAGAAUUCCACGUGUAGCAGUGAAAUGCGUAGAUAUGUGGAGGAACACCGAUGGCGAAGGCAGCCCCCCUGGGUCAAAACUGACGCUCAUGCACGAAAGCGUGGGGAGCAAACAGG